UACGUAGGGGGCAAGCGUUGUCCGGAAUCAUUGGGUUUAAAGGGUGCGUAGGCGGCCCCGUAAGUCAGUGGUGAAAUACGGCAGCUCAACUGUCGAGGUGCCAUUGAUACUGCGGGGCUUGAGUACUGAUGAGGUAGGCGGAAUUGACGGUGUAGCGGUGAAAUGCUUAGAUAUCGUCAAGAACACCGAUAGCGAAGGCAGCUUACUAAGGAGUAACUGACGCUGAGGCACGAAAGUGCGGGGAUCAAACAGG
rnacentral:rRNA from 1 species